GUGUUAAUUAAGCAAAAUAAGUCAAGCAAGUCAAGACUUCCAAGCAUUUGGUUUCAGAAAGUGUACUUUGGCUACUAUGUGGAAGCAGAAUUGAAGGAGAGGGAAACUGGAGAACGGAUGAACAGUGUCUCUUGGAAAAUUGAGCUGUAAUAAGGAUCCAGCCAAGAGGAGGGUGGAGUGAAGAAUUCUGUGGCUCUGUAAUACCUGGGGCGUUUGUCCCACUCAGCACAUCUCAGUGUCUAAAUACCCACCCUCAAGAAGUGGGACUGCAGCAGGAAGUGAAGUAUCUUUGCAUAUGUUCAAUAUAUAAACUAAACUCGAACAUCUGGCAAACACCCCUUUCCUGGGUGAAUUCUGGAAAACAGCACAAUUAUAAUCCCAAGCAAAUAACUCAGGAGUAAGACUGUUCCCUUGUUAAGAACACCAGGCAGCAUCAGUAAAAGUUAAAACUUCUUCUGCAUCUAUGCGCUUUUAAUCUCCACGGCCAUUUCCAUAAUACCUGAGAUUACCUGCGUUGAUAGCUGGUGAGAAAUCAUCCCAGGCACCGCAGGUGGAGAAAAGAGAUGAAAGCUACCUCAAGGCGUACACGUAAACCUUACUGAACAAUGACCUUGAUCGUUAGAAAGUCAAGAA